rnacentral:lncRNA from 1 species
GCCAGCUAUCUCGAUGAGAGUUUGAAGAUCUACAUUGAAAUCUUUUACCUAAGAAACUUAGUCCUUACCCAUAAACCCAGGAGAAGAGGGGGAGCACGCAUCGGAGCUAGUAAAUAUAGAAAAAGUCAAACAUUCCUCAUCAGGGCCUCUGAAGAAACCAAAGAAACCAAAAAAACACCAAGGGAGAAAAUGUCCACUGAAACACGUGCCUGCCUGGGUGUGAGGAUAUCCUAUGACAGUCACUGUCGCUCAGGCAGCUGCCAGGCUGUUGCAGGACCCAGGUGGAAGAGAGAGGGAGGAGCUACGCCUUUGACUGAAUUUGGAACCUUUCAUUAUUACAAUUUCUGAAUUGAG